AAAAUUAAAAAAAAAAUUCCUUCUGUUUGAAAUACUUAGGUGGUGGUUUCUAUUUCCCUGAUUGGACACUGACUGAUACACCUCCUCUAAGGUAGGCACUGUAGGGGCCCACAGGCUGAAGACACUGUUCUUUUCUUCAAGAGUCCUACAGAUCAAGUGUGAAGACAGUAAGGCCCGAGUUCUCCCUACGGGAAGAUUAGAACACCUAUACCGCGAUGCCAAUGUCAGCCGUGUGAUGUGGAUGCAGGUAAUUAGAGCCGACAGGAGACGUCAGGCUAUGACUUCUGCACUCCCACCUCGGCAAAAGCAGAGGUGUGUAUGGCGGCUAACCUAAGUACAAGAACUCGUUUCGACUGAUGGAAUGCAGCAUAACCCCUAGGCAUUCCACAUCGGUUACCUGGAUGCGGACCUGAAGUACAUGGGACACAAUCUAAGCUUUUCUUGAAUACUCAACAAUUUUUCUUUGAAGAUCAAUUACUACACUGUGCUGUAAGUGGAGCAAGCUCCUCAGAAGACAAUGCAAUAGGAAUAGCUGCUUUAAACACAAAUGGUUCAGAUCAUAGAGUAAAAGAGCAGGAAUAUGUACUGAACAUUAAAAG